rnacentral:rRNA from 1 species
AGUGAAGCGGGAUGAGCUCAAAUUUAAAAUCUGGCUGGUUUACUAGUCCGAAUUGUAGUUUAAAGAAGCGUUUUCGGUGGCAGCCUGGGUAUAAAUCCUUUGGAACAGGGUAUCAUAGAGGGUGAGAAUCCCGUCUUUGACUCAGUGCAUGCUACUAUGUGAUACGUUUUCAAAGAGUCGAGUUGUUUGGGAAUGCAGCUCAAAAUGGGUGGUAAAUUUCAUCUAAAGCUAAAUAUUGGCGAGAGACCGAUAGCGAACAAGUACCGUGAGGGAAAGAUGAAAAGAACUUUGAAAAGAGAGUUAAACAGUGCGUGAAAUUGUUGAAAGGGAAACGCUUGACACCAGUCAUGCGAGCGGAAAAUCAGUCUUUUGCAGUGGGGAGUGUGUGUGGGUUCGGACCGCAAGGCCGGCCUGCGCUUCAUCUCUGCUGUAAGUGAUGCACUUUUUCGUUUGCAGGCCAACAUCAGUUUCUUCUGCUGGACAAAACUCUUGAGAAGGUAGCAGCUUAGGCUGUGUUAUAGCUCUUGAGCGAUACAGUGGAGGAGACUGAGGUUUUCGCAGCGCGUGCUUUCGGGCAAGGCUGAUUGGGUGCUAUGGGAUCGUUCGGUGUACAAUGCAUGCAUUUUGCGCCGUGUCUUUUCUAUACUCGCUCAACUCGGCUCUCCGCGC